UUGACGCUGGCGGCAGGCUUAACACAUGCAAGUCGAGCGGUAACAGGAGAAGCUUGCUUCUUGCUGACGAGCGGCGGACGGGUGAGUAAUACUUAGGAAUCUACCUAGUAGUGGGGGAUAGCUCGGGGAAACUCGAAUUAAUACCGCAUACGACCUACGGGAGAAAGGGGGCAACUUGUUGCUCUCGCUAUUAGAUGAGCCUAAGUCGGAUUAGCUAGAUGGUGGGGUAAAGGCCUACCAUGGCGACGAUCUGUAGCUGGUCUGAGAGGAUGAUCAGCCACACCGGGACUGAGACACGGCCCGGACUCCUACGGGAGGCAGCAGUGGGGAAUAUUGGACAAUGGGGGCAACCCUGAUCCAGCCUGCCGCGUGUGUGAAGAAGGCCUUUUGGUUGUAAAGCACUUUAAGCAGUGAAGAAACUCCUGGUUAAUCCCAUGGACGAUGACAUUACUGCAGAAUAAGCCCGCUUACUCUGUGCCACACCCGGUAUACAGAGGUGCAGCGUUAUCGGAUACUGGGCGUAAGCGAGCGUAGGUGGCUUGAUAAGUCAGAUGUGAAAGCCCCGGGCUUAACCUGGGAACGGCAUCUGAUACUGUUAGGCUAGAGUAGGUGAGAGGAAGGUAGAAUUCCAGGUGUAGCGGUGAAAUGCGUAGAGAUCUGGAGGAAUACCGAUGGCGAAGGCAGCCUUCUGGCAUCAUACUGACACUUGAGGUUCGAAAGCGUGGGUAGCAAACAGGAUUAGAUACCCUGGUAGUCCACGCCGUAAACGAUGUCUACUAGUCGUUGGGUCCCUUGAGGACUUAGUGACGCAGCUAACGCAAUAAGUAGACCGCCUGGGGAGUACGGCCGCAAGGUUAAAACUCAAAUGAAUUGACGGGGGCCCGCACAAGCGGUGGAGCAUGUGGUUUAAUUCGAUCACCCGAAAACCUUCCUGGUUUGACAUAUCUAGAAUCUGCAAAAUGCGGAGUGCUUCGGAAUUAAAUCAGGUCUCAUGGCUGCUAACUCUGUCUAAAUUUGGUAAUCCCACACCACCUUGCUUAUCCACAUUGCCGACUUAGUCUGCAUGCAAUGAGAAGCGGCACUAAAUUGCUUAACCG
rnacentral:rRNA from 1 species